GACGAACGCUGGCGGCGUGCUUAACACAUGCAAGUCGAACGAAGUGGCGAAAUGGUGAGUAACGCGUAAUCAACCUGCCCUUCAGAGGGGGACAACAGUUGGAAACGAGUACUAAUACCGCAAACCGAAGGCGGGGAUUGCGUCUGAUUAUCUAGUUGGGGGGGUAACGGCCACCCAAGGCGAUGAUCAGUAGCCGGGCGGAGAGGAUGAACGGCCACAUUGGGACUUAGACACGGCCCAGACUCCUACGGGAGGCAGCAGUGGGGAAUCUUCCGCAAUGGACGAAAGUCUGACGGAGCAACGCCGCGUGAGUGAUGACGGCCUUCGGGUGGUAAAGCUCUGUUAAUCGGGACGCGGUACCGGAAUAGAAAGCCACGGCUAACUACGUGCCAGCAGCCGCGGUAAUUC
rnacentral:rRNA from 1 species